AUUGAACGCUAGCGGCAUGCUUUACACAUGCAAGUCGAACGAGUGGCGGACGGGUGAGUAAUAUAUCGGAAAGUGCCUAGUAGAGGGGGAUAACUACUGGAAAGGGUGGCUAAUACCGCAUACCAUCAGAUGGGCCCAUAUGGGAUUAGCUAGUUGGUGGGGUAAAGGCUCACCAAGGCAACGAUCCGUAGCUGGUCUGAGAGGAGGACCAGCCACACUGGGACUGAGACACGGUCCAGACUCCUACGGGAGGCAGCAGUGGGGAAUAUUGGACAAUGGGGGAAAGCCUGAUCCAGCCAUGCCGCGUGUAUGAAGAAGGCCUUCGGGUUGUAAAGUACUUUUGGCGGGGAGGCGGUACCUGCAGAAUAAGCACCGGCUAACUACGUGCCAGCAGCCGCGGUAAUAC
rnacentral:rRNA from 1 species